rnacentral:rRNA from 1 species
UACGGAGGGUGCGAGCGUUGUCCGGAAUUAUUGGGCGUAAAGAGCUUGUAGGUGGCUCGUCGCGUCGGGAGUGAAAACCCGCGGCUUAACCGCGGGCCUGCUUUCGAUACGGGCGGGCUAGAGUUCGGCAGGGGAGACUGGAAUUCCUGGUGUAGCGGUGGAAUGCGCAGAUAUCAGGAGGAACACCGGUGGCGAAGGCGGGUCUCUGGGCCGAUACUGACGCUGAGGAGCGAAAGCGUGGGGAGCGAACAGG